AGAGUUUGAUCCUGGCUCAGGACGAACGCUGGCGGCGUGCUUAACACAUGCAAGUCGAACGGUGAACCUGCUUCGGUGGGGGAUCAGUGGCGAACGGGUGAGUAACACGUGGGCAACCUGCCCUCAGCUCUGGGAUAACUCCAAGAAAUUGGGGCUAAUACCGGAUAUGACCGCUGACCGCAUGGUCUGGUGGUGGAAAGAUUUAUCGGCCGGGGAUGGGCCCGCGGCCUAUCAGCUUGUUGGUGGGGUAGUGGCCUACCAAGGCGACGACGGGUAGCCGGCCUGAGAGGGUGACCGGCCACACUGGGACUGAGACACGGCCCAGACUCCUACGGGAGGCAGCAGUGGGGAAUAUUGCGCAAUGGGCGAAAGCCUGACGCAGCGACGCCGCGUGGGGGAUGACGGCCUUCGGGUUGUAAACCUCUUUCAGCAGGGACGAAGCGGAAGUGACGGUACCUGCAGAAGAAGCACCGGCCAACUACGUGCCAGCAGCCGCGGUAAUACGUAGGGUGCAAGCGUUGUCCGGAAUUAUUGGGCGUAAAGAGCUCGUAGGCGGUUCGUCGCGUCGGCUGUGAAAUCCCGAGGCUCAACCUCGGGUCUGCAGUCGAUACGGGCGGACUCGAGUUCGGCAGGGGAGACUGGAAUUCCUGGUGUAGCGGUGAAAUGCGCAGAUAUCAGGAGGAACACCGGUGGCGAAGGCGGGUCUCUGGGCCGAUACUGACGCUGAGGAGCGAAAGCGUGGGGAGCGAACAGGAUUAGAUACCCUAGUAGUCC
rnacentral:rRNA from 1 species